AUUGAACGCUGGCGGAAUGCUUUACACAUGCAAGUCGAACGGUAGAGGGGGCAACCUCUCGAGAGUGGCGAACGGGUGAGUAAUAUAUCGGAACGUGCCCAGUCGUGGGGGAUAACGUAGCGAAAGUUACGCUAAUACCGCAUACGAUCUAAGGAUGAAAGCGGGGGAUCGCAAGACCUCGCGCGAUUGGAGCGGCCGAUAUCAGAUUAGGUAGUUGGUGGGGUAAAGGCUCACCAAGCCAACGAUCUGUAGCUGGUCUGAGAGGACGACCAGCCACACUGGAACUGAGACACGGUCCAGACUCCUACGGGAGUCAGCAGUGGGGAAUUUUGGACAAUGGACGCAAGUCUGAUCCAGCCAUUCCGCGUGCAGGAUGAAGGCCCUCGGGUUGUAAACUGCUUUUGUACGGAACGAAAAGGUCUCUCUUAAUACGGAGGGCUCAUGACGGUACCGUAAGAAUAAGCACCGGCUAACUACGUGCCAGCCGCCGCCGUAA
rnacentral:rRNA from 1 species